AGGUCGGGUGUUGCUCUGCUCCACCCCCUCCCACUUAAUCAGUAUCACCGGUGCUUGAUUGCGCAUUGGCAGCACCUGGUUAACUACUGCGCUCCUCCGGGGCGCAUUCUCUCCCUGGCAUUCACCUGGAAAGGCUCUGGGUCGGCGUGCUCCAGUUUGGUUGGUGUUCGGUGUGAUUUCGCCAGUUUUGGCCGUACUGGUUGGGUUGCAGCUGGAGGAAGUGGUGUCCGCGUUCUGCUGUUGUUGAGGACUGGUUUUUUUUAGUGCGUAAAGCUCUCUCUAUCGGUAAGCAUGCUCGUUGUUAAUCAUGGUUAACUAUAGUAGCCCUUUGCUAACAGCUGUUGCCCUCUGCUCUGUCCUGCUGUAGCUGCUGAAUUUGCAGCGGUUCUGUCUCUCCUCCUGCGCUCUGUGGAUCCACUGCACAGCCUAUUGAUGACCACCGCAGCCACCUACGCAUAACAUCCGCUGCCUCCAGCCUUGGUGCAGCCGCUCCGUUUUCACGCUGUCUUCCACACCGUAGUUUCUUUUUCUUAAUGUCCUGAGUUUCUGUUGUGGCUCUCACGCAGCACCAGACUCAAGCCCCACUGCAACUGACUUAUUAGUGUUUCUUUGUUUGUUUGGUUUAUUUAUUUCUUGUUUAUGUAGUUGUUUUGGGUAAUCAGUUAAUUUGCAAGCUCUUUGGUUUCUUUAUUUUGAAUUACAGAUGGUUAUUUUGUUUAGUUCUAAUUUAGUUACAUUUCUGAUUUUGUUUAUUCUUAUAUAAGUAAAUUUUCUUUAAGUAUUUCUAUAUAGGUUAAAACAAUUAAUGUGUAUUCUUUCUGUUGGUGUGCAUGUGGGUGUGAAUGUUGUGUGUGAGUGUUUUUAGAAUAGGACAUUUUAAUAAUUCGUAUAGUUCAACCUUUGAGUGUCGCUCCACCUAAUUUUGUGUGUUUUCUUCCUGGACAGGAGCUGGUGUAGUGCGUGGCAGACUCCCUGGUGGUGGUCCCAUCUCACCUCCCUUAAGUUUGCUGUGGCACGUGGUGGUUUGGUUUGUAAUAUUGUUUUUGUGUGUUUUUAAGUUUCUUUAGUCUGUCCGCCUCACUGAGCUGUCCCUGCUCCUAUUUUUGUUUAUUUUCCCCCCUAACGAAUGGUGGUAUAGCAGACACGCAGGUUGUGAAGAAUAUGUUCAUUUUACCUCUAGUAAACCAUUGUUAAAUAAAAUAAUUUAUAUUUUUGGAAGUCCGUCUCUUGUCCUCUCUAUAUAGGUGUAACGAGUCUGUGUGACCUCAUAGUAUUCCCCUUACAGGGUUGAGUGAAUUUCCUGGGGUGCAAUUCCCCAGGUGGCGUUGUUGGACAAAUCCCCCCCCUCUUUUACCACGUCUCGCCACAAAUUGGCGUUGUCGGCAGGAUGCACUGUUAGAGGACAGAGGCGUGACUUCCAUUUUUUUUUCUGUUAGUGUGAAUUUGUUGUUACGUUGGUGUGUUAGGGCAGCAGUGAAGACGGAGCGGCAGCAUCUUUUUUUUUUUUUUCUUCCUCUUUUUGUUCUUGCCAGUGGUGCAGGUUUCCAUUUUGAAAGCGGUGGGUGUGGCCUCUGCGGUUUGCCAUGGAGGAGGAACUGCAGCAGCUCAGAGAGCUGGUGGCACAGCUUAAAGCAGAUAAUGAGCAGCUGUCUCGAGUGAGGGAUGCUUCUCAGGCCGGUUCCAGCAGAGCGGACCCCGCUUCUGUCACUUCAGGUGCUAAUCCUCCGGCUGAGCUGGUGUAGUGCGUGGCAGACUCCCUGGUGGUGGUCCCAUCUCACCUCCCUUAAGUUUGCUGUGGCACGUGGUGGUUUGGUUUGUAAUAUUGUUUUUGUGUGUUUUUAAGUUUCUUUAGUCUGUCCGCCUCACUGAGCUGUCCCUGCUCCUAUUUUUGUUUAUUUUCCCCCCUAACGAAUGGUGGUAUAGCAGACACGUAGGUUGUGAAGAAUAUGUUCAUUUUACCUCUAGUAAACCAUUGUUAAAUAAAAUAAUUUAUAUUUUUGGAAGUCCGUCUCUUGUCCUCUCUAUAUAGGUGUAACGAGUCUGUGUGACCUCAUAGUAUUCCCCUUACAGGGUUGAGUGAAUUUCCUGGGGUGCAAUUCCCCAGGUGGCGUUGUUGGACAAAUCCCCCCCCCUCUUUUACCACG